rnacentral:rRNA from 1 species
AUUGAACGCUGGCGGCAGGCCUAACACAUGCAAGUCGAGCGGAGAGGCGGACGGGUGAGUAAUGCCUAGGACUCUGCCAGGUAGUGGUGGAUAACGUUCGGAAACGGGCGCUAAUACCGCAUACUAUCGGAAGAGCCUAGGUCGGAUUAGCGAGUUGGUGGGGUAAAGGCCUACCAAGGCGACGAUCCGUAACUGGUCUGAGUGGAGGAUUAGUCACACUGGAACUGAGAAACGGUCCAUACUCCUACGGGAGGCAGCAGUGGGGAAUAUUGGACAAUGGGCGAAAGCCUGAUCCAGCCAUGCAGCGUGUGUGAAGAAGGUCUUCGGAUUGUAAAGCACUUUAAGUUGGGAGGCGUUACCAACAGAAUAAGCACCGGCUAACUUCGUGCCAGCAGCCGCGGUAAUUC